GUUACUAAUUAGAACAUAAACAGAAGUUUGUUUGUUUUCAGGUGGAAAUAAGGAUAACAUAAGGGCAGGAUGCAAGAAGUGUGGCUAUCCUGGUCAUCUGACAUUUGAAUGCCGAAACUUUCUCCGGGUGGAUCCCAAAAGAGACAUUGUUUUAGAUGUUAGCAGUACGAGCAGUGAAGACAGUGAGGAAGAAGAGCUGGGGAAACUGCAGGCUUUACCAGAAAAAAAGAAUACAAAUCAGGAAGAGGAAAAGAAGAAUCUAAAAAGAAUAAGCAAAGAAAAAUCCAAAUCAAAGAAAUUAAGUAAAAGAUCUUAUUCAUCAAGUGUCGCUGCAGAGGAAGAGCCAAAACCAAAAAAACAGAAAUCCCAUAAAAAAGAAAGGAAAAAGGAGAAAAAGAAUAAAUCCAAGAAAGGAAAACAUCACAAAAAAGAAAAAAAGAGAAAGAAAGAAAAACAUUCAUCCUCUGAUAGUUCAGACUCCUCUAGUAGUGACUGAAGAGCCAGUGCUUUCAUCUUCCAUUACCCUGAAAGAUUAGGAUUCUUACCUUUCAAAGCUAUCCUUUAUGUGCUUUACAGCUUAUAUGUGUUUUUACUGUCAGAUUAAAAUAAAUAUUAUAUAACGGAGCUUUUAAAAGUUUUAAAAAUAUUUAAAAAGUACAUUUUAUUUACAAAUAUCUACACCUUGAUAAGCUAAGAUGAAAGAUUGGGUGGGGAGGAGGGGAGAAUCUACACUGUUGGGGUUUUUUUGUUGUUGGCUGUUUAAUGGCAUUUCACUAUUUUCAUCCUAUGCAACUUGGACCAAAAAAAUAGACUACUUUAAACUUU